rnacentral:rRNA from 1 species
GACAGAGGAUGCAAGCGUUAUCCGGAAUGAUUGGGCGUAAAGCGUCUGUAGGUGGCUUUUUAAGUCCGCCGUCAAAUCCCAGGGCUCAACCCUGGACAGGCGGUGGAAACUACCAAGCUGGAGUACGGUAGGGGCAGAGGGAAUUUCCGGUGGAGCGGUGAAAUGCGUAGAGAUCGGAAGGAACACCAGUGGCGAAGGCGGCCCUCUGGGCCGGGCCUGACGCUGAGGCGCGAAGGCUAGGGGAGCGAACGGG